rnacentral:rRNA from 1 species
GGGUUGUGAGGUUAAGCGACUAAGCGUACACGGUGGAUGCCCUGGCAGUCAGAGGCGAUGAAGGACGUGCUAAUCUGCGAUAAGCGCCGGUAAGGUGAUAUGAACCGUUAUAACCGGCGAUUUCCGAAUGGGGAAACCCAGUGUGAUUCGUCACACUAUCAUUAACUGAAUCCAUAGGUUAAUGAGGCGAACCGGGGGAACUGAAACAUCUAAGUACCCCGAGGAAAAGAAAUCAACCGAGAUUCCCCCAGUAGCGGCGAGCGAACGGGGAGGAGCCCAGAGCCUGAAUCAGCAUGUGUGUUAGUGGAAGCGUCUGGAAAGGCGCGCGAUACAGGGUGACAGCCCCGUACACAAAAGCGCAUGUGCUGUGAGCUCGAUGAGUAGGGCGGGACACGUGGUAUCCUGUCUGAAUAUGGGGGGACCAUCCUCCAAGGCUAAAUACUCCUGACUGACCGAUAGUGAA